rnacentral:rRNA from 1 species
UAAGGAAUAUUGGACAAUGGGCGGAAGCCUGAUCCAGCCAUGCCGCGUGAAGGAUGAAGGCGCUCAGCGUUGUAAACUUCUUUUGGAUGGGGACAAUAACUUCCAUUUAUGGGAGCUUGAGGGUACCAUCAGAAUAAGCACCGGCUAACUCCGUGCCAGCAGCCGCGGUAAUACGGAGGGUGCAAGCGUUAUCCGGAAUCACUGGGUUUAAAGGGUGCGUAGGCUGUUAGAUAAGUCAGUUGUGAAAUUCCUCGGCUUAACCGAGUGGACUGCGAUUGAUACUGUUUAACUUGAAUGAGGUUGAGGUAGGCGGAAUGUGGCAUGUAGCGGUGAAAUGCUUAGAUAUGCCAUAGAACACCGAUUGCGAAGGCAGCUUGCUGGGCCUUCAUUGACGCUGAGG